UUCAGAAGGGCAUGAUUUACUGUGCCCAAGUAGCACUUAAGUUCAGAGGAAUUAAUACUAACAACUCUAGUGAGCCAUCAUUAGUCAAUGAUUGAAAGCCUUCACUAACAAUGUCUCGGCCCUCUGAAGACUCAUGAAGCCCUCAGAAAUUCCUCAGAGAUUAUAUGUAAUUAAAUGCUAUGCAACUGAGAAAACAAGUUCUUGUUCAAGAAUGUUUGACAAAAAUGGCUAAUCAGACCUAGACCUAUGCUUCUGGAACCGGUGCAGAUUUUAUUCUAUUUAUUUAUUUUAAGCAAAGGCCUGUAAUUGUAGCCAUUUUCAAAGCAAGCAACACAAUACCCGUUGCCAGAGGAUGAACAAAACAAUUUUGGUCACCAGAGGAAUUGUCUCAGGAAUACAUUCUUUGAGUAAUUUAGUUGGAGAAGAAUCAAGCGUGCCCAGGGUGGCGCAUGUGGGCAGAAGUAGCACCACGUGAUCCCGCACCUGUGACCAGGAGCUGCCCUUGACCAGAUGGGGGAAGAUCCGAACCCCACGACGUCUGAGGGCCUUGCCAUCAAGGGGAGGUCCUGCAGGGAGCUCUGCGCCUCACUGGAUAGCCCAGACAGCAGGAGCCAUGACACCCUCCUCAUGGACACCACGGAGGCCCUGGACCUUGCAGCUGUAUCCGCAGCAUUCGACACUGCCUGCAGGGUUGCCCUGGCAGCCGCUGUACCCUCCUCCACCAGAGCUUGUCCUUCUUGUCACACUCCUGGAGGGAGUCCUCAAAUUUGGGUAGAGAGCCAAAUGGAACUCAGACCGGCCCAGGAGAGCAUGAUGGUUCGCCACCCUUAACUGGAAACUCGAGGACAAAUAAACCUUCCUCCCAAAUAA